GGUCGGUAAAGCAGAACUGAAGGAAUAUUUCGACAAAAAUAGUAAUUUGACAUGUUUACAUUUGGUUUUUUCGCAUUGAUUUUAUUUUUCGCGCCUCGAACCGAUGAUGGUUCGAAGUUUUAUUUUCCUGUGCCUCAGCUGUCUGGACCAGUCAAGAUUAUUGGAAAACAUUGAGUUCAGAGCAAAGAUAUGUUUCAGUGAAUGGAAUGAAGGCCUUCAAAUGUGCAACCGAAAUCAUCAACUUCACUAUAUUCCCCGGCGGCCACUAAAUCAUAAACCGUCAGGUGAUUCGGUGGUUUCAAAAAGUUUCAGUUUAAGGU